GAUGAACGCUGGCGGCGUGCCUAAUACAUGCAAGUCGAGCGAACGGACGAGAAGCUUGCUUUUCUGAUGUUAGCGGCGGACGGGUGAGUAACACGUGGAUAACCUACCUAUAAGACUGGGAUAACUUCGGGAAACCGGAGCUAAUACCGGAUAAUAUUUUGAACCGCAUGGUUCAAAAGUGAAAGACGGUCUUGCUGUCACUUAUAGAUGGAUCCGCGCUGCAUUGGCUAGUUGGUAAGGUAACGGCUUACCAAGGCAACGAUGCAUAGUCGACCUGAGAGGGUGAUCGGCCACACUGGAACUGAGACACGGUCCAGACUCCUACGGGAGGCAGCAGUAGGGAAUCUUCCGCAAUGGGCGAAAGCCUGACGGAGCAACGCCGCGUGAGUGAUGAAGGUCUUCGGAUCGUAAAACUCUGUUAUUAGGGAAGAACAUAUGUGUAAGUAACUGUGCACAUCUUGACGGUACCUAAUCAGAAAGCCACGGCUAACUACGUG
rnacentral:rRNA from 1 species